GCUAGUGCUGUUGUGUUACGUCUCAUGUGCUUUUCUGGCAGUCAGCACAGUGGUUGGUUUAAGGUGUCACACUUAGCAGUGGAGUUAGAGUAUAGGAGUUGGAUCCUUGACAGUGUUUAUAUUAUGUUUGUGAGUGUACAUUAUGUUAAAGAGAAAUAGGUCUUAGACAGCAGUCGUAUAGGUAGAUUUUACUUCUCUGACAGUAAAUGUGAAGUUUGUUUUUACCUCUAUGACAGUAGAUAUACAGUAAGGGUUUUUCCUCUAUGACAGUAGAUAUACAGUAAGGGUUUUACCUCUAUGACAGUAGAUAUAUAUAGUAAGGGUUUUACCUCUAUGACAGUGGAUAUACAGUUAGGGUUUUACCUCUAUGACAGUAGAUAUACAGUAAGGGUUUUACCUCUAUAACAGUAGAUAUACAGUAAGGGUUUUUCCUCUAUGACAGCAGAUAUACAGUAAGGGUUUUUCCUCUAUGACAGCAGAUAUACAGUUAGGGUUUUUUCUCUGUGACAGUAGAUAUACAGAUAGGGUUUUUCCUCGAUGACAGUAGAUAUACAGUUUGGGUUUUUCCUCUAUGACAGUAGGUAUGCAGUUUGGUUUUCCCCUCAGGCGGAUGUAUUUCGGGGAAAGGUACAAUAGCCUUGAGGUUAGAGAGCAAGGCCAGCAUCCAAACAAAUGAAAAAUGGGGAAGAGAUUUCUGUACUGGAGUUCUGUACUAUAGCUGACAUUGUGUCAAGUGUUGGGAAAGGAGGUUUUAUACAGUAUAUGGUUCUGUAGGUGUAGUAAAGGGAUUUAUGGUUGAACAUUCUGUAGGUGUUGUGAAGGCAUUUAUGGUUGAACAUUCUGUAGGUGUUUUAAAAGUAUAUAGUGUUGAAGGAUCUGUGAGUAUAGUGAAGGUAGAGGCGGGGCAUAAAUGGGUGCGAUGGGUGCACAGUACCCAUGGUAACCAGUGUUGCCAGACAAGGAGGUUUCCAGAUAUAUAGAAGAAAUAGCGUUUUUGCUGUUUUUAUGUGGAGUCUGCAGGUUGAUUGGCCAGUAUAUUGUCAGUGUAAUAGGGCAACCAUGGAUUUAACGUUGGAUCUUGUCGGCUCAUUUGCUAUGAAUUUGAACUAUGGAAGAUAGCUAGCUUAAGAAAAAUGUUAAAUGGAACAUAGAUAGGUCUUCUAAUCAGAAGAAAGAAAAGCAAUACAUAACGUUGAGCAGCAGAAGCAUGAGAAGAUUAAUAGAUCCGGCGUUACAAUGAUGGGAGCAGCAUCGCAGCUUCAAGUGCAGGAAGUGAUACUGUUAUGAUCCUGCAGCUAGCAGCAAAUUCUGUAACCGCUGGGACAUGUUGUUGUAGUCUAAUCUGCCUCUAUCUUUUAGCUGGGAAAUGAGGUAACAAUAGUAAGAUGGUAAUGGCGGAGGGAUAGGCGGGCCUCCGCGGCUGAGUUUCACACCCAUGGGAAAGAAACCUAAGCUCCGCCACUGGUAAAGGGAUUGAGUGUCUUAGUCUACAUUGUAGGGUUUUUUGGAGUGAGAUGUGUAGCGUAAAUGUUAUUGCGCUGUCGCUUGUUUAUCUUACAAUAACUAUACUGUGGUCAUCCUACUAGUCCAUGUGAGGUAUAGUAUAACUAAAUCCUCUUGUCCGUUCUGUUGUAAAACAAGAGAACCUGGCAUCCUGCACUGUGAAUGCUAUGGUUAGAUGAGAAGAGACGGCAGCACAAGUGGAUGAUGACAAGGUGUAAGUAUGGAGAAACAGAGGGAGGACGGGAUGGAGGGGAAAUUCCAAAAGCUGCAGGGAGGUAAUAUGAAUCAGUGGGCCCCUGGGACUCAUCUCAAGGAUUGGGACUGUCUUAGAGUAAUGGUUCAAAGAGACGCUUCCACUGGGGCCAGUCGGGUUGGGCAAGCAGCCUGUGUGACGCAGUUCCAGGCUGCUUCAGCAGGCUGCAGCCUCCACACUUCAAGCAGGUGUGUCUAUGAGGAGCCACACACACACACACAAACACACAGAUUUCAGAGCGUCAAUGUCUUAUUGUGUCCUUAUGCUCUGUGACACCAUUGCGUUCAUAUCUAUAUCUGUGUGUGUGUGCAUGUGCAGAGACAGAGGGCCUUAAUUCUGUUCCAUGAAUCACCACAACAUACAUUCACGGGGGGGAGGGUAGUUAUUGGGGCAGGAUGGAGAGAGUAAAACUAAGUGCUGAUGCUAUUAGCUAGACCACAAGCAUAGAGUGGAAGGAAAGUAGCGGGAGGGAGGGGUGAGAGAGAGGAAGAAAAAGAGCAGGGAAUAAGGAGAGGGCAUAAAGAGGACAGAGGACAAGGACAAGAGGACAGAGAGAAGCAGUCAGAAGGGAAGAGGGAUGGGCUCUCAUCUCACAUUGACAUUAGAAUCCGAUGUUUAUCCAUGGCUGCUCAAAAACAUAGUUUGUGGUUCUGUUGUCUAUUGGUAACUUUUAGACAAUGUUAAUUAUUUUAAAAAAGGUACAGUCUGUAUGUUGGAAGUAAAGAGGACAGUUCUUAGCUGAGUGUGGACCACCGGAGGCUCUACAGCUGCAGAACUUUACAUCCAGAUUGUAUGGUUUUUAUUCAGCGGUUGCAGACAAAUUGACCAAAUCUUUUUUUCCCAAGCAAUACGUCUAGCUUUGAUUGUCCUGAUUAGUCCUCAGCCGGCCACUACCAAUGGCUAAAUUAAGUCAUGUUUAUACUGAUUGGCGAAAGAAAAAACAAGAUGUAACAUCUGGAUGUACAAUUCAUGAAUUAACGUUAAAGCACAAGCCGGUGCAAAUGAGUGGCAUGAUGAGUUGCAUCCCAGAACUCUGCAGCUACACUAACACUAACAGGCCUUCAGGGGAAGCUAACGUGGCCAACUUUUCUUUUUUUAAAUGACCAUGAACAGGAUAUUUUACUGUCUAUUUGCUGUAUUAAUUGAGGGGGGAGCAUGCCAGGAAUCCAGCACCACGAUGAGCACUGCUCUGUCCAGUUAGGAAGGGAAGAACUGUAACUAGAUAAUGUUAGCAUUAGCAAUGGCUACUACACACUUUCUUGCCCUGGAAAAAAACCCAGAAAGCUGGGGGGGAUGAUAGCUAAUCAAACUAAUUUUACCCUAAAGUCAAUUUUGUUAAUUUUUUUAUCUCAGAAUUCCACUUCAUGUAGAACCUACCACACUUAAAUUACCAUACUUAAGUAAUUUAGCAUCUCAGUUGUUGAAUUUCAAAUUGAUUGUGGUGGCGCACCACGCCAAAAUUAUGAAAUGAGUCCAAGUAUUUCCGGAUUUAACUGUCUAUCAUAAGGAUCAGGUACUACAGUAGAGAUGUCAAAUGUAAAAUUGUUUUUUCAUAUAACAGCAAGUGAUCUCUAGUUUUUAGGUGUGUAUCGGUGCUUUAAGACACUUUGUGGAUGAAUCCCAUCAGAUUCCAAAGCCACAUGCAGAACAGCAGAAACUGGAUCACUAGCUUUACCGGGUGGGGAAAUUGACAGGUAGAUGUCAGGCCAGGUCCUGUAGUCCUGAAUCACGGUCUAGAUGUCAGGCCAGGUCCUGUAGUCCUGAGUCGUAGUCUACAUGUCAGGCCAGGUCCUGUAGUCCUGAGUCGUGGUUUAGAUGUCAGGCCAGGUCCUGAGUCAUGGUAUAGAUGUCAGGGCAGGUCCAGUAGUCCUGAGUCGUGGUUUAGAUGUCAGGCCAGGUCCUGUAGUCCUGAGUCAUGGUCUACAUGUCAGGCCAGGUCCCGUAGUCCUGAGUCAUGGUUUAGAUGUCAGGCGAGGUCCUGAGUCGUGGUCUAGAUGUCAGGGCAGGUCCAGUAGUCCUGAGUCGUGGUUUAGAUGUCAGGCCAGGUCCUGUAGUCCUGAGUUGUGGUCUAGAUGUCAGGCCAGGUCCUAAGUCGUGGUCUAGAUGUCAGGCCAGGUCCAAUAGUCCUGAGUUGUGUUGUCUAGAUGUCAGGCCAGGUCCAGUAGACCUGAGUUGUGGUUUAGAUGUUAUGCCAGGUCCUGUAGUCCUGAGUCAUGGUCUUAUUAUUCUGAUAUUACUUAACAUUGGCAGCAUAGCUCAUCAGUAUUUGUUUUAGUCAGCUUAUUAUUGGUCAUGACGGUUCCCAACUUAGGGUGGCAUUCAUUCAAGCCAGCCAUAGCAAUAUUUAUGCAGUAAAUAUUUAUCCAUCUUUGUUUACAAUCACACUGCAGCACUGUGAAAUAUAUAGUUGCAGUUAGGGUAAGAAUCAAGGUUAAGUGUUAGCACAUAGGCUUAAGAAUUUUGAAUAUGUGUUUAGUUGCCAACACAAACAGAAAACUGAAAAUCUGAGGUCACUGUUCUAGCCGAUAUUCUAGCUGAGAAAAUAAAGUAAUUUUCACCUGUCAAUGUUUUUUGUGUGUAAGUCUAAUAAGACAUCUAUUGGAUUGGUCCCCCAGAACUGUAACAUCUCCUGCCCUAGUUUCCCUCCUACAUGUUCUAAUUUCCUCUUAAAAUGUUCCAUGUUUUUGUUGGAGGUUAUGGAAAUGAUGGUGUAGUCACUGGAGAAUGGCGUGUGUGUGCUUGUGGAAGGAGGAUGAGGUGGUAAUCUAAUAAUGGCUUCAUUUAUCCUCUGGCUAAUCUGAGUGUCUGAUUAGAGAAAGAGAGCAGAGAGGAGUGUGAGAAAAAAGAGACAGCAAUCGGCCAGCAAGCAGACAAAGAAGGUAUCCAUAUACAUUAACCUAAUUUGCUCUAAGAGGAGGACCCAAAGCUGUUAGCCAUAUUUGCCACCAAGCACAAAGACUCAGUGCUAGUAGAGUAUUAUUGGAUAGAUAGGGAUGUUAGUGACAUGCUGUAUUACAAUCAGGUAACGGAAGAGGGCAACAGACAUUCUGGAUCUAGUGGGAUUCAUAUCAUGCAGGACUAGCAUGUUCUCAACAUUAUCCAGCCAAUUCAAUUCCUCUCUCUUUCUCCCUUUCUCACGUUCUUUUUGUCGCUGUCUUUGCCUGUAAUGAAUGAUAUAUUGUUUUUUUGCACAUGACUGUGUGUCUGUGUGUUUUCUUUUCCACUGACUUGUGCUCUGGCCUGAGGCUGAGCUGUCACUGGCUUUUCUGAUACAGAAGGCAGAGCAGAAGAGCGGUAGAGGAGUUGGGUAAACAAACCAAGACACAAGGAUGUGGCCCAACUGUCCUAGCAGAAGAUACCAAGGACAGCUGCAUGGAAUUCAGCAAAUUCAUCCAGAAGGACAAAUAUUUUCAUGUACUGAACUGUACAAAAGUUUAGGCCACCUGAGAAUUAAAAAUAUAUAUAUUUAAUACA